GCCUCUAUAGCUCAGUGGCAGAGCACUGGUCUUGUAAACCAGGGGUCGGGAGUUCGAUCCUCCCUGGAGGCA
rnacentral:tRNA from 1 species